ACGUGGGAAAACACCAAUCCUUUCUUUUUCUUUUUCUUUUUCUUUUUUUUUCUUUUUUCCUUCUUCUUCCCCGAAAUACACACACACACACGCAGCUUUUCUUUCUUCUCUCCCGACCGUCCCUCUCUCUCCCGUGUUUUUGAAUUCCGGCCACCCAUAGCCCUCACGCGCCAGCCACCAAGGAAGCCCGCCACCUCGCGAGCUUGGCCGCCAAGUUUCACGGCCAGCCGCCGCCGGACGCGCGCCGAUCGGGCCGGAGAAGCCGCCGGCCGGCCAAGUUUCUCUCUCCUCUUUUCUUGUGUUUUCCGGCCAGCCCACUCCCAAUUGAGCCUCCUAUCCCCCUAUUUUGGGUCCUCUGAAUCCAAAAAUGGCCUCCAAUCUCAAAAAUUCGAAGCGGUUUGCGAGAUAUGGAGAAGUGAACACCGGCCGAACCUUUCCGGCCAAAUUCCGGCCACCCCCGGCGGAAUUGGGGUCGACGGAGACCGGAUUGGUGAUCCUCGUUCCACGAGCUUCGAUUCGGAGCACUGGUGAGUCGUAGAAUUGAUCCCGUAGUGGAUCAUGGGUUAAUUGCGUGCUCCAGGUUCCAGGUUGUCGGUGUUCAUUCGGAUCGGACUUGAUCUUCCUCGCUGUUUUACUUCGUGAAGUACCCUGUUCUUCUUUAUUGCGGUUGUACUAUUUCUUUCAUUCUUGUUGUAUUUAUUUUGCACUGGAUUACUGUAUUUUUGUUUUGAAGUGCUGGAAUUUGUGGAACCAAUUUGUAGUUUGUGGGAGGAAUAAGGGGAUAUUUUUGAAGUGUGUUUUCAGUGCAGGUAAAUUUGUGGUAAGUAAAUCCCUUAGGGGAGGUGCUGCCGGAUUUUCCGUUGGAAGGUUCGGUGGUAUUUUCCUGGGAUCAGGGCUGUCUAGGGUUCCGGAGGAGGAAUUCUGGACGGGUCCU